UGGGGAAUAUUGCGCAAUGGGGGAAACCCUGACGCAGCGACGCCGCGUGCGGGAUGAAGGCCUUCGGGUUGUAAACCGCUUUUGAUUGGGAGCAAGCCUUUUGGGUGAGUGUACCUUUCGAAUAAGCGCCGGCUAACUACGUGCCAGCAGCCGCGGUAAUACGUAGGGCGCAAGCGUUAUCCGGAAUUAUUGGGCGUAAAGGGUACGUAGGCGGUCUAUUAAGUCAGGUGUGAAAGCGUGAGGCUUAACCUCAUUAAGCACUUGAAACUGAUAGACUUGAGUGAAGGAGAGGAAAGUGGAAUUCCUAGUGUAGCGGUGAAAUGCGUAGAUAUUAGGAGGAAUACCGGUGGCGAAGGCGACUUUCUGGACUUUUACUGACGCUCAGGUACGAAAGCGUGGGGAGCAAACAGG
rnacentral:rRNA from 1 species